rnacentral:misc_RNA from 1 species
GUGAAUCAUCGAAUCUUUGAACGCAAAUUGCGCCUUUUUCGAUAGUCAUGUGUGUUUGAGGGCACCAUUUAACAAAUAAUGUGCAGCUGUUUUUUUUGCACACGUUAGUGAGCGUUUCAAGAAUUUUAAAUUUUUGGUUGCGCAUAAUGAACAGCUUGAAGCUUUUUUUUCAGUUCUUGUUGAGUAAAAUCUUGGUAUGGAUUGUGACUAGAGU